GUUACAUGCUGUUUAUAGGGAGCCCCUCCCCUGCAUUCCCUUCUCUCCCUCUGCCUUCACCCUAUAACUAGUGUUGAGUACAGUUAGCUCUCUGUAUCUGUGGGCUCUGUAUCUGCAGUUCAGCUCACACAGAGUGAAGAUAUUUAGAAGAGAAAAAUUGUGUCUGAAGUGAAUAUGUACAAGCACUUUUCUUGUCAUUGCUCCCAAAUAACAUGACAACUAUUUACUUACUAAGUGUUGUGAAGCACCUAAGAGUGUGUGUUAUACACAAAUAUGCCAUUGUUUUAUAUCAAUCUCUGUCUGUCUGUCUGUCUGUCUGUCUGUCAGAGCAUCUGUAGAAUUUGGAAUCGGCAUACAUGAGAUGACCUUGUUUGCUGUUUGGUCCUUUGCAUUAUUCUUCCUGGCCUCUGCUCUAAACCAUGCAUUAUCAUGCUUUUCAUAGAAGCGUAAGGACGUGGAGUUCAGUCUAUAUGGAGGAUGCAUAUGGUAGACAUGAUCAAAAGUAGAUUAAGUAAUAGAAUGCUUGAUAUGACCCAGGUUCAAACGUACAUAUUACUACACAGAUCUGAGGGGGGGGGGAGGGGAGAGAUGUUGCUAGGAGCCACUGUGUGACAGUGACCACUGUGUGGCAGUGACUACUGUGUGUGUGACAGUGACCACUGUGUGACAGUGAGCACUGUGUGUGUGACAGUGAGCACUGUGUGUGUGACAGUGAGCACUGUGUGUGUGACAGUGAGCACAGUGUGACAGUGACCUCUGUGUGACAGACAGUGACCACUGUGUGACAGUGACCAUGAGUAAGAUGACUGUGCUUUUGCACAGUAGAGUGGCUGUGGACAGCUGUGUGCUUAUGCACUUUAUGUUUCAAAAGUUAGAAAAGAUUUGAAUGUUUUCAGGCUAGAGAAAUGGCAGAUGUUUGAGUUGGAUAUGUUUAACCUGAUUUAAACAUUAAACUGUAUAAAUGUAUCAGAAGAGAACUUGGAACCCGGUUUUUACAGUGGGGCUCAUAGUUUUUAAGGUUUAUUGGCCCUCUCUUUUGAACCUUGCAUGGUCCUGGCAGACCAGGACACUGC
rnacentral:lncRNA from 1 species